rnacentral:rRNA from 1 species
AUUGAACGCUGGCGGCAGGCCUAACACAUGCAAGUCGAGCGGAUGAAGGGAGCUUGCUCCUGGAUUCAGCGGCGGACGGGUGAGUAAUGCCUAGGAAUCUGCCUGGUAGUGGGGGAUAACGUCCUGAAACGGGCGCUAAUACCGCAUACGUCCUGAGGGAGAAAGUGGGGGAUCUUCGGACCUCACGCUAUCAGAUGAGCCUAGGUCGGAUUAGCUAGUUGGUGGGGUAAAUGCCUACCAAGGCGACGAUCCGUAACUGGUCUGAGAGGAUGAUCAGUCACACUGGAACUGAGACACGGUCCAGACUCCUACGGGAGGCAGCAGUGGGGAAUAUUGGACAAUGGGCGAAAGCCUGAUCCAGCCAUGCCGCGUGUGUGAAGAAGGUCUUCGGAUUGUAAAGCACUUUAAGUUGGGAGGAAGGGCAGUAAGUUCAUCCCUUGCUGUUUUGACGUUACCAACAGAAUAAGCACCGGCUAACUUCGUG